UUAGUGCAAUGGCAUAAGCCAGCUUGACUGCGAGCGUGACGGCGCGAGCAGGUGCGAAAGCAGGUCAUAGUGAUCCGGUGGUUCUGAAUGGAAGGGCCAUCGCUCAACGGAUAAAAGGUACUCCGGGGAUAACAGGCUGAUACCGCCCAAGAGUUCAUAUCGACGGCGGUGUUUGGCACCUCGAUGUCGGCUCAUCACAUCCUGGGGCUGAAGUAGGUCCCAAGGGUAUGGCUGUUCGCCAUUUAAAGUGGUACGCGAGCUGGGUUUAGAACGUCGUGAGACAGUUCGGUCCCUAUCUGCCGUGGGCGCUGGAGAACUGAGGGGGGCUGCUCCUAGUACGAGAGGACCGGAGUGGACGCAUCACUGGUGUUCGGGUUGUCAUGCCAAUGGCACUGCCCGGUAGCUAAAUGCGGAAGAGAUAAGUGCUGAAAGCAUCUAAGCACGAAACUUGCCCCGA
rnacentral:rRNA from 1 species